rnacentral:misc_RNA from 1 species
UUUCCGUAGGUGAACCUGCGGAAGGAUCAUUAACACUACAAGCUUUCAAACUUGUAUCUACCCCUUGGGUGCCAGUUGCCUCAGUGUCACCUGUUCUGUUUCACUUUCACAAUUUUUUUACAAUUUUUUAUACCCUGUUCAACCAACUGACUGAAACUAAUUGCCUUGACUGGCAAGAAAGCACAAAAUAUCUGUACAACUCUUAGCAACGGAUAUCUUGGCUCUC